CCCAGGGUCUGAGGGAGGAGGCUGGGGCCUGGACCCCUGGGUCUGAGGGAGGAGGCUGGGGCCUGGACCCCUGGGUCUGAGGGAGGAGGCUGGGGCCUGGACCCCUGGGUCUGAGGGAGGAGGCUGGGG